rnacentral:lncRNA from 1 species
GUCAUGAUGGCGCCCAACAACCUUGCCGAGCUAGCCAAGUGCAGAAUAUUACUAACAAUUCAUAUAGAAAUAUACUCAAUGUUAGAUGAAAUACUCAUUAGCUUGGGUUUAUAACCAACAGAAUAUAAAUUUGAGUACUAUCGAGGGUCGAACGGCCCGUACCAUAGAUGCAUCUAUUUCACUGAGGCGAUCAGCCCGAUCCACAAAUAUCAAGACGACAUUA